UGGGGAAUAUUGCACAAUGGGGGAAACCCUGAUGCAGCAACGCCGCGUGCGGGAUGACGGCCUUCGGGUUGUAAACCGCUUUCAGCCAUGACGAAGCUUUUGUGACGGUAGUGGCAGAAGAAGCACCGGCUAACUACGUGCCAGCAGCCGCGGUGAUACGUAGGGUGCGAGCGUUGUCCGGAAUUAUUGGGCGUAAAGAGCUUGUAGGCGGUUUGUCGCGUCGAAAGUGUAUACUGAGUGCUUAACGCUGAGCCUGCUUUCGAUACGGGCUGACUAGAGGAAGGUAGGGGAGAAUGGAAUUCCCGGUGGAGCGGUGGAAUGCGCAGAUAUCGGGAGGAACACCAGUGGCGAAGGCGGUUCUCUGGACCUUUCCUGACGCUGAGAAGCGAAAGCGUGGGUAGCAAACAGG
rnacentral:rRNA from 1 species